rnacentral:rRNA from 1 species
GACGAACGCUGGCGGCGUGCUUAACACAUGCAAGUCGAACGGAAAGACCCUGCUUUUGUGGGGUUCUCGAGUGGCGAACGGGUGAGUAACACGUGAGUAACCUGCCCUUGACUUUGGGAUAACUUCAGGAAACUGGGGCUAAUACCGGAUAGGAGCUCCUGCUGCAUGGUGGGGGUUGGAAAGUUUCGGCGGUUGGGGAUGGACUCGCGGCUUAUCAGCUUGUUGGUGGGGUAGUGGCUUACCAAGGCUUUGACGGGUAGCCGGCCUGAGAGGGUGACCGGCCACAAUGGGACUGAGAUACGGCCCAGACUGCUACGGGAGGCAGCAGUGGGGAAUAUUGCACAAUGGGCGGAAGCCUGAUGCAGCAACGCCGCGUGCGGGAUGACGGCCUUCGGGUUGUAAACCGCUUUCGCCUGUGACGAAGCGUGAGUGACGGUAAUGGGUAAAGAAGCACCGGCUAACUACGUG